GUGCUCACUUCAGCGGCACAUAUACUAAAAUCGGAACAAUACCAUAAAGAGAAGAUUAGCAUGGCCCUUGCGCAAGAAUGACACGCAAAUUCAUGAAGCGUUCCAUUCUUUA
ensembl:snRNA U6 U6 spliceosomal RNA